AAGAGGGGCCCACUAGGUGGUCGCGUAAACCUCCGGGUUCUCUGUCCCCGUCGGGGCGGGAAAUGCGCCCACUCCGAAGGUGCGGACCACUCCAGUCCCUCUUUUGGGAGCAGCGAACCAGAGCGCUUGCUCUCCACCGCCGCUGGUCUAGCUCUUGAGGAGGCGGCAGGUCGCGAGGCGGGAAGAAGCAGGUUGCGAGGUGACAGGGGGCCGGGAGGAGGCCGUUGGCCUUCGCCGCGUGGGGGGUAGAGGGAGGUGGAGAUGUGAGGCGCGGAGACCGCCCCCGCUGCCGCUGGCUCCAUACAGAGUUACGUACGCUCUCGAAAUUCAUAUUGGUAGGUUCGUGUUGCCAUACAGAGUCACGAAACAAUAGAACUAUUCACUAGAGAGAACAAAUUACUUAUAUUAAAUAGAAGACAAAAAACCUGCAUCCAAACAUUACUUUUUCAUCUCCUAAAAAAAAGAAAAGAUUACCUUACCAGACAGGAUACGCUGUUCAUGCAGGUAUUUUUAUUACCACUACGGAGUUGAUCAAACAAGCUCCUACUUCCCCUUCUGGUACUUGGAUCUUUUUCGUUCGUACAGCAUCUCUUUGAAUCACGCUAGACGAUACCACCGCGAGUGUCUUUUUUUUACGUAUAUGAAAUUCUCUGUUUACUUUACACCGUCCCUCCCACAGAUUUCCUUUACCGGUACGAAAUUGAUACCUUUCUCUUCCCUACGUCUACCUUUUCGUGCUUCGGAGCGAAGUCCUGUUUCGCCGCACCCCUCGACGCUGCGUAGCGAACCCCGACUAGGAAGGCCAACUCCGGAGCUUACGACUUGCCGCACCAAGGGUUUCUAACUUCGUUUGUACCUACUUUAAGUGACACCGCAGGACAUCCAACAAACCAGCAAAUUCGAAAGGAGCACGAAGGCGACUCGACAUCCUGACCCAUUGGUACAACCGAAAUGGGACUCUUGGACUUACAAAUACUUGGAAACAAGGUAACGUAGUAACCGACGUACCUUGUUCCUCAAGACGAGGAUAGAAGGAUUUUUCCCCUAUGUCGAUUCACCUUUGGCUACCCAAACGAAUGGGUCCCACAGGUUGACAGCCUAGUCGGCCUGUUCUAGAGCACCGAAACCUGUCGACUACCGAGAAUGUGCCGCCGUAGACGCAUGUUCUAAGUCAAGUACCCUUCAUGUAGGAGUUUGGACCUCCUCGAGUAGACCUUUUGAGGUCAUGGCCGUUUCGUCUUCGAGAGCCGAACCUACACAUAAAGUUCUAGCGACAGACUGUCGCCUAUUCGAGCGGUUCUCCCCGACCGUCGUAUUUACCAGACGCCGCUAAUGGGACCAAACAACCAAGUAAACCUGACACGCCUAGAAACUACCCCACCGGACGUCGCGACGAGCCCAUUACACGCUCUCACUCCUUCUUGACAGCCUUACCCCUUCGCGGGCCUAGUCGCCACGCGAUAAUGACAGCGUAUAAGUAGGUACUACGUGUGUUAUACCAGACUAACGGACUCUUCUACGGCAACUUUCCUCGAUGAGUCUCAAUCCACCUUUGGAGGCACUCGAGGAUGAGUUACGAUGAUCACAAAGGAACUAAUCGGAAAUCGGAUCCAAAAAGGGGUACAACUCGAUACAGUACAUAGAGACAUUGUAAAGAAGAGGGGAUUAUAUUACUUUCGUCUCGACGACGAGAAGCAUUUUUUUCUUCCCUCAAACGAACUGACUUAAGUCACCUAGUACUACAAAGUUCAACGUAUAGGAAAGGAAUCUUUUACCUUACUAUUUACGCUACCUCUACUGGUCAAACACACUACCUUUUCCUGGGAAAUACUUAGACGUCUACCGUAUCGUAGAAACUGUGUACUUUAACCACAACGUAAAAGAAUUAAGGUUCAUACACCUUCGACUUCCGGUUAGUCUUGAAGUGGCAACAAGUCUAAUAAAAGUCAGACACCCGUCAAAGGAUAAAAGUUUUUAGAACAAGGUAC
rnacentral:rRNA from 1 species